rnacentral:rRNA from 1 species
ACGUAGGGUGCAAGCGUUAAUCGGAAUUACUGGGCGUAAAGCGUGCGCAGGCGGCCUAUUAAGUCAGAUGUGAAAUCCCCGAGCUCAACUUGGGAACUGCAUUUGAAACUGAUAGGCUAGAGUGUGUCAGAGGGAGGUAGAAUUCCACGUGUAGCAGUGAAAUGCGUAGAGAUGUGGAGGAAUACCAGUGGCGAAGGCGGCCUCCUGGGAUAACACUGACGCUCAUGUACGAAAGCGUGGGGAGCAAACAG